rnacentral:rRNA from 1 species
CUAUACCUACGGGGGGCAGCAGUGGGGAAUAUUGCACAAUGGGGGAAACCCUGAUGCAGCGACGCCGCGUGAGUGAAGAAGUAUUUCGGUAUGUAAAGCUCUAUCAGCAGGGAAGAAAAUGACGGUACCUGACUAAGAAGCCCCGGCUAACUACGUGCCAGCAGCCGCGGUAAUACGUAGGGGGCAAGCGUUAUCCGGAUUUACUGGGUGUAAAGGGAGCGUAGACGGUGCAGCAAGUCUGAUAUGAAAGGUCGGGGCCCAACCCCGGGACUGCAUUGGAAACUGUUGAACUGGAGUACAGGAGG